rnacentral:rRNA from 1 species
CCUACGGGGGGCUGCAGUAGGGAAUCUUCGGCAAUGGGGGGAACCCUGACCGAGCGAUACCGCGUGAUCGAAGAAAUACUUCGGUAUGUAAAGAUCUUUUACAAAGGAUGAAUGGUUCUGAUAGGAAAUGAUCAGAAAGUGACAGUACUUUAGGAAUAAGCCCCGGCUAACUAUGUGCCAGCAGCCGCGGUAAUACAUAGGGGGCAAGCGUUAUCCGGAAUUAUUGGGCGUAAAGGGUGCGUAGGCGGCUAUUUAAGUUCAUGGUCUAAAUUCAAGGCUCAACCUUGAAUCGCUUUGAAAACUGGAUAGCUUGAGAGAGGUAGAGGCAAGUGGAAUUCCAUGUGUAGCGGUAAAAUGCGUAAAUAUAUGGAGGAACACCAGUGGCGAAGGCGGCUUGCUGGGCCUUAUCUGACGCUGAUGCACGAAAGCGUGGGGAGCAAACAGGAUUAGAUACCCUUGUAGUC